AGCAACCUCUGCACUUGCCUGGCGUCGAGCCCCACGUGCAAGACCUGACGUGAACGUUUUGUUCGUUCGGCUCGCGUUAGGCAGGUCCAGCCUGUCG
ensembl:miRNA